UGCAAGUCGAGCGAACAGAUAAGGAGCUUGCUCCUUUGACGUUAGCGGCGGACGGGUGAGUAACACGUGGAUAACCUACCUAUAAGACUGGGAUAACUUCGGGAAACCGGAGCUAAUACCGGAUAACAUAUUGAACCGCAUGGUUCAAUAGUGAAAGGCGGCUUUGCUGUCACUUAUAGAUGGAUCCGCGCCGUAUUAGCUAGUUGGUAAGGUAACGGCUUACCAAGGCAACGAUACGUAGCCGACCUGAGAGGGUGAUCGGCCACACUGGAACUGAGACACGGUCCAGACUCCUACGGGAGGCAGCAGUAGGGAAUCUUCCGCAAUGGGCGAAAGCCUGACGGAGCAACGCCGCGUGAGUGAUGAAGGUCUUCGGAUCGUAAAACUCUGUUAUCAGGGAAGAACAAAUGUGUAAGUAACUGUGCACAUCUUGACGGUACCUGAUCAGAAAGCCACGGCUAACUACGUGCCAGCAGCCGCGGUAAUACGUAGGUGGCAAGCGUUAUCCGGAAUUAUUGGGCGUAAAGCGCGCGUAGGCGGUUUUUUAAGUCUGAUGUGAAAGCCCACGGCUCAACCGUGGAGGGUCAUUGGAAACUGGAAAACUUGAGUGCAGAAGAGGAAAGUGGAAUUCCAUGUGUAGCGGUGAAAUGCGCAGAGAUAUGGAGGAACACCAGUGGCGAAGGCGACUUUCUGGUCUGUAACUGACGCUGAUGUGCGAAAGCGUGGGGAUCAAACAGGAUUAGAUACCCUGGUAGUCCACGCCGUAAACGAUGAGUGCUAAGUGUUAGGGGGUUUCCGCCCCUUAGUGCUGCAGCUAACGCAUUAAGCACUCCGCCUGGGGAGUACGACCGCAAGGUUGAAACUCAAAGGAAUUGACGGGGACCCGCACAAGCGGUGGAGCAUGUGGUUUAAUUCGAAGCAACGCGAAGAACCUUACCAAAUCUUGACAUCCUUUGACCGCUCUAGAGAUAGAGUCUUCCCCUUCGGGGGACAAAGUGACAGGUGGUGCAUGGUUGUCGUCAGCUCGUGUCGUGAGAUGUUGGGUUAAGUCCCGCAACGAGCGCAACCCUUAAGCUUAGUUGCCAUCAUUAAGUUGGGCACUCUAAGUUGACUGCCGGUGACAAACCGGAGGAAGGUGGGGAUGACGUCAAAUCAUCAUGCCCCUUAUGAUUUGGGCUACACACGUGCUACAAUGGACAAUACAAAGGGCAGCUAAA
rnacentral:rRNA from 1 species